rnacentral:rRNA from 1 species
GAUUAACGCUGGCGGCGUGCCUAAUACAUGCAAGUCGAGCGAACAGACGAGGAGCUUGCUCCUCUGACGUUAGCGGCGGACGGGUGAGUAACACGUGGAUAACCUACCUAUAAGACUGGGAUAACUUCGGGAAACCGGAGCUAAUACCGGAUAAUAUAUUGAACCGCAUGGUUCAAUAGUGAAAGACGGUUUUGCUGUCACUUAUAGAUGGAUCCGCGCCGCAUUAGCUAGUUGGUAAGGUAACGGCUUACCAAGGCAACGAUGCGUAGCCGACCUGAGAGGGUGAUCGGCCACACUGGAACUGAGACACGGUCCAGACUCCUACGGGAGGCAGCAGUAGGGAAUCUUCCGCAAAGGGCGAAAGCCUGACGGAGCAACGCCGCGUGAGUGAUGAAGGUCUUCGGAUCGUAAAACUCUGUUAUUAGGGAAGAACAAAUGUGUAAGUAACUAUGCACGUCUUGACGGUACCUAAUCAGAAAGCCACGGCUAACUACGUG